UUGAUUGAUUUGAGACUUUCUCUUGUAAACUUGAAGAAUUUGAAAACUUCAACUUACAAACCUAAGAAUUUGAAGACCUCAACU
rnacentral:pre_miRNA from 1 species